rnacentral:lncRNA from 1 species
GGAUUUAACGUUUUAGAUUCAUAUGUGUAUUUAGGAUUGAGCUGUAGCAUUUAGAUAUUAGACCGAGUCUAAAGACCGACUGAAAUUAUCUUUGAAAAGACGAUACCUGAAAACUAGAGUUUGCAAUAAACAGGUUAACACAAUACGAGAUCCUGAUGGAAAAUUAUUUUACAUUGAAGCUUUUCUCUUAGUUGUUUUGGAUGAUGUAUGGUUAUAAUGAUAGAUAAAGAGGGUAAUACAAUCUUUAAAUAAUAUGUUUACUGCAGCCUGUUUGUCUAUCGCGGAUUGAAACAACAGUUUUUGCCAUGUUUGCUGUGGUUUUAAAUAAUCUUCAGUGGGUGUAGUGGUUGUGCUGCUGGGAACUCUCCAAAUAAAUUUAUGAUGUCCAUCAAAUUCUUCAAACUGAUUCAUGUGAAUGAUGACAGAGAGCUCAUCGUGGCUCGUCGUGUCGAUGGCACUUGGAAAACACCAACAUCCUCCAGUUCUGGGUUGAAUUACACAGACCGGGUUGAACAUCAGUCCUCUUCCUCUCUCGUCUUAAGUCGUCUAAACUACAACGAUAACGGAUUGUACGAGUUCCUCUGCAGUGAUAAAGUUGUUGAUCGUAUCCAGCUGGACAUUGUGUUUCUCAUACCGGUUCCUGUGACUUUGGGGGACACAGCCACACUUUGGUGCCAUUUCAUGACUGCAGGUGGAUCAGAUGUGAAGUUUGUCUCCUGGGAAAAAGGAGGACAGCAGGUGGUGAGAGCGGACCUCUGGUCUGGGAAUGUGACUUAUGGACCAGGAUUUGAGACUAAUGUGUCUGUACCAUCAGACUGGGUCUCACAGGGAGACUUGACGCUGACUAUAAGUCGGGUUCAGCAGCAGGACCAGGGUGAUUACUACUGCUACACUCAUGAUAAAGAGGGAGAGAAGAGGCCUGGAAAUCCAGGUCCUGUGAGGUUGACAGUGAACCAGAGACUCUCUGCUCAGACCAGCACUCCGCAUCCUGUGUGUCUGACACAGACUGAUGAAGACAGAGGAAUGGCUGCUUGGCUCGUAAUCAUCAUAACACUCGUGAUAUCUGUGGUUGUUGGAGCUCUCUGCUUUGGUCUUGGCUGGUGGACUAAACCUCAAAGAUCAGAUGUCUCAUCUGGAUCCGGUCCAAGUUCUGACACAGCCGUAAACCUAACACUUCUCACUGAAACAGUCCCUACUGAUGCUCAGGUUAAGGGAAAUAGCUCUAGAGGAUGACUUCAGUAGUAAUGUACAUAUCACUAGCUAUUAAUUAUCGUAUUAAACUAUAACAUCGUGCUUAUUCCAGCUUUCUUUGCACCAUCAUGUUGUUUUUUUCUUAAUAAACCAUAUUGACUUUAGGCCUCGCUCACGCUCACCCUGUCUACCCUUGUAACCUACUUGUAAAUCGCUUCGGCCUAAAGCUUCUGCUAAAUGUAAAUCUCCACCAUCCUGUAAUUUCCUAACAAUAAACCAGAUGUUAUUAUUUUUUAUAUUAUUUUAUGUUUUUGUGUUUUAAUGGUAAAAGAGUAUAUUUAUAUAUUAGUAUAUUUAGGAUGUAGAAUUAGAAUUUAACGUUUAAGAUUCAUAUGAGUAUUCAGGAUUUAGCUGUAGCAUUUAGAUAUUACACAUUUUAAAAUAAUUGAUGUAAAUCUAGUUAAAAUGUGUCAAUUUUCUUAAUGAGGUAAUACAUUACAGUUCAUGUCCUAUAGUCACAGUCACACGGUUCAAUAAGCCUCA